CAACUGCUAAUUGGCAAGAAGGAAACGCAGAGUCUAGGGCAGAAGGGAGGGCUUGCUUCUCACAGGACACCUUCAGUGUCCUUAACAGUUCUAAGCAAUAUUGGCUGGCGAAGAUGUCAUAGGAUAAAAUUGUAGGGAGGCCCUCCUUUGCUUUCAUGAAAACUGUGGAUGAAGGCCACCGGAAGGCCGCAGAGAAAGCUGUUAGCUGAGGGCUGAGUCCAUCAGCCCAUGGGAAAGGUGUUGGCUGAACAAGCACACAAGGACCUGAGUUCAAAUAUCCAGAACCCGCAUGGAACAACUAUGGCCACUCUCCUGCCUGUAAUCCUGACACCAUGGGAAGGGGCGCAGGAGGCUCCCUGGAGCUUCCUGGCCACCAACCCAACUCUAGGCUCUGAAAGGGAACAGAGUGGAGGGAGAGAGGGCAGGACAGGCAGGUCCUCCUCUGGUCUCAGUGCAGGUGUGCACAGGCAAACCUGCACAAAUGCUCAAAUACAACCCACGCAUACAAUCACACACACAUACAUUCAUAGGUACUCACAUACCGACACUCACACAUACAUAAACACAUGUACACACAUACACACUCAUGCAUAUACACAUAAUAGACAAAUGCAUACAAACAUAUACACUCAUAUACAGAGAUGUAUAGAGAUACACACUCACAUGAUUCAAACACACACACAUGUGCACACACAUGUGUGCACACACAUUACUAAGUCACAUUUCCAUGAAAGCUGUAGGGUGUGUUUCCGGGUUGCCCAGUUUAUCCUCUGGGACUUGUCUGUUUCUCUUAUGCUUCAGAUAAGAACGAGACACAGGAAGGAAGUCUGCAGAACAGGAAAGGUCCCUUGGAGAGCAUGGCUGGGUCCAUCCUCAGAGGGUGUGCUCCAUUACCCCCUAAAACUCACCCUGACAGAUUUGGGAUAAAAAGCCGCUGGCUGUGUGAGACCCAAGUCUGAACCUGAUGUUACUUCGCCACCCGGCAGCCUCAGCUCCCUGGUGCCCUCAUCGGGGGCCUCAGCACUCUUCAACGGAAGCACAGCUGCUCUGGAGACUCGUGGAGAUGUGAGCAAGAGAGGCUGUGUUUUCAAAGCACUUAUUUGGCAGCUGGGGAGAUGGCUCAGCAGUUUAAAGUGCUCUUCCAGGGGACCAUUCCCAGAACCCAGGCAUUUCUGGAUGCCGGAGACGUGGCGAACGGCCUGACCUGUUCCCAGGAGAGGAACUUGUCCAUCAGCGAGUCUCCCGCACUAAGAACAGCCCUGAUAAGAAGCCGAGCCCUAAGGCCCUGGGUUCGGUCCCCAGCUCCGAAAAAAAGAACCAAAAAAAAAAGAAGCCGAGCCCAGUGUGUGUUCAUUCUUUGAUGAACUAAUGAGAAAAUGAUCGGAAAUGGUGCUACGGAACUGAUACGGUUAUGAUUGCACAGAUGCUAACGGCACCAUCGAUAUUUGAACCAGGGGCCAGCCCUUCAAUUGGCACCUGACAUGUGUGACACUGGACAGCCCCACCCCAAUGCAGCAGAACUCCAUCCUCCACAAACAGCCAGACAUUCACCCCUCCUUAUCCGAGCCUGCAACCUUGCUGACAUGUCCAGAACUCACCGGACAUCUGGGAAACUGAAGUUCAGAGAGGGUGGGGAUCUUCCUCAGGCUGAAAGGGAGCUAGCACACAACGCUGGGUAGGAUUCAUUCUUGCCAGGCAACUGGUUCUUGUCAUGUCUAACACGUUCUGGGCCCUGAGGAGUCAGAAGGGCUCCAUGCACAGAGUUAUGCCAGUGGUCAGCUUCAGGUGGCCUCCAGCAAGAAAUUCUGGGAAGUUUGCUGGGGUCAGGAUCUGGGUCCCUGGAGUUUGAAGCCAGCCUGUCCAUUUCUCUGCCAUACAGCCUCAGGUAAGUGGCCCCUUCUCUCUGGUCUUCUGAUAUUUCCAGCUAAGCUUCUGCAGAACCGGAAGGGUCAUCUUCUUACACUGUGGGUCCUGAGCCCACACGGUGCCACCUAAAUGAGUGUGGGGGUUGCGAAAAGUUCUGCAACUGUGAAAUGUUUCUGAAUAUGUAACAACCAAAACUUAAUUCAAAGUCCAACAUGUAACAAACUUGAGAAGUUGCUGCUGCACUCUUCCUAUAUCGGAAUGCAGGACUUUGCCACAGCCUUGUCCUGGACCAAAAAGAUGCCUUAUGUACCCUGCAUGCCACCUCGCCACUCAACACUGCCCAAAACACCACCAUCUGGCAGAAGGAACAGGCCUGCUGCUCAGAGGCCUGUGGAGCCCCAGGAGAAGCCAUGUCCUCUCGACUUCUGACUUCAGCUACAGAGCAUGGAAGGAGCCAGCCCCUGGGGAGUAGCUCUGAAGACUGUUUGCAAGCACCUUCGUGACCAAGUGCCCACUUGUGCCCACUCUACUCUGAAACUCUUCAAGAUUUUCUUCACCAACCUCUUUCUCCUGAGAACAGAAAACAUCAAACCAGUCAAACAUUUACUGAUAACAAGUAAGAAAAUUUACUUUAAAGCAGUGUGUUGGUAGACAUACAAUUUUACCUUUUAUUAAAGAUGAAAACUUGGGCGGGUGAUAUGGCUCAGUAGGUAAAGGAGCUUGCCACCAAGCCCAACAACCUGAGUUCAAUUCUUGAGACCCGAGUGAUGAAAGAAGAGAACAGUUCUCCCAAGUUGUCCUCUGAUCUCUGUGUCCACACAUGGCCACUUGCACACACCUGCCCACAUGCAUGCAUGUUCACAAAACAAAUUAAAAUGUGAUUAAAAAAAUAAAAGCAAAUCCGUACACAAA